rnacentral:rRNA from 1 species
AUUUAUGGAGCUAGCCGUCGAAGGUGGGACAAAUGAUUGGGGUGAAGUCGUAACAAGGUAGCCGUAUCGGAAGGUGCGGCUGGAUCACCUCCUUU